rnacentral:rRNA from 1 species
UACGUAGGGCGCAAGCGUUGUCCGGAAUUAUUGGGCGUAAAGGGCUCGUAGGCGGCUUGUCACGUCGGGUGUGAAAGCCCGGGGCUUAACCCCGGGUCUGCAUUCGAUACGGGCUAGCUAGAGUGUGGUAGGGGAGAUCGGAAUUCCUGGUGUAGCGGUGAAAUGCGCAGAUAUCAGGAGGAACACCGGUGGCGAAGGCGGAUCUCUGGGCAUGAUCUGACGCUGAGGAGCGAAAGUGUGGGGAGCGAACAGG